rnacentral:lncRNA from 1 species
AUGCACUUGAAGACCAUGGAUAAGCUACACUGCUUAGAUUAUUCUGCUAAAUGCAGACAGAGAGCAUUCCAAGGGCUCGGUUGGUUGGCUGGUUUCCCUCUCUCUCUCUCUCUCUCUGUUGUGCCUCCCUGGGCCCGGGGUGGGGCAGGUUCAUCUCCUCGCCCACAAGGUGAUCCUUCCUGGGAGAAACCGGGACGCCUGCAUGUCAGGGAGAGGGAGGCCGGCUGGCCGCCUUGCCUCCGGCUACGGUCUCCUUGCCUGUUUUCACCCACAGGACCGCCGGCUGCAGUGCGCUGGCCCAUGCACAUCUCCCAGGAAAGCAAAGGGUGCUGCUUAUACCCCACCCCAUAGCACUUCAAGAACUGUCUCGGGAGUUUACAAGUUAAUUAUGCAGGCUACACUUUGCCCCCCCCCCCUUUUACAGACCUCAGAAGCAUGGAAGGUUGAGUGAACCUUAAGCCGGCUACCUGAAUCCGCUGGGAUCAAAAGCGGUUGUGAGCAGAGUUUUCACUGCAGCGUUGCAGUUUAACCCCUGAGCCACAAGGACUCCCCCCGACCUGCAGCCUCCCUCAGAAGGUGCUGCCUGGUGGGAGUUCCAGAGGUCUCCUUAGCCAUUUCUGUCACUCCCCAGCAGGCUGCAUCCUGCCUACAUCGGGACGCCUCCCCUUUCCAAAGAGAUCCUUAAGCCACUACUUUGUCUCCGGAUAAACUGAUGCAGAUACGAGCCGCAAUGCAGCUCAGACCCAGCACAACUGAGCUGCGCCAUCUCCUCCCCGGUGCUUCCUCUGCCUCUUCUCAUAACACCCUCCUCCCCCUCCACCGCUCCGUGCACUCCUUAUGGGUAUCCCACACAAGUGGUGUCCUCAAAAUCUGGGCCCCCUCUCCCUUCCCCAGAACCACCUGUCCUGCAGUGACUCUCUUGGGCAAGGGCACAUCCAGAAUUGUGCAGGCCAGACUCCCCUGGACAAACAUAUGGGGGAAUGAGUCGUCACACACCCUUCCUCUUCUCCAGGCAAAGGAAGGAUGCAUGCAUGCGAGAGAGUCGGGGAGGAGAUAUUGAGAGAGAAAGAGAGAGAGAGAGAGAGAGAGACUGACCCAGCAGAUGCUUGUCAGCUCUCUCUCCCCCCCCUUCAGUGCAGUGGUCAGAGUAGAAUUGAAAGCGUGUCCAGUGGGUUCCGGCUUACGUCUAGUAGAAACAGCCCCCCCGCAGCCCCUUCCCCAGAG